rnacentral:rRNA from 1 species
GAGUUUGAUCCUGGCUCAGCGCGAACGCUGGCGGCAUGGCUAAAACAUGCAAGUCGAGCGCGAAAGUCCCUUCGGGGGCGAGUAGAGCGGCGAAAGGGCGAGUAACGCGUUCCUACGUACCCCGAGGUCAGGGAUAGCCCAUGGAAACGUGGAGUAAUACCUGAUGUGGUGCUUCGGCAUCAAAGGCUUGCCGCCUCGGGAGCGGGGAACGUCCUAUCAGGUUGUUGGUGAGGUAAAAGCUCACCAAGCCGAAGACGGGUAGCGGGUGUGAGAGCAUGACCCGCCGCAUCGGAACUGAGACACUGUCCGGACUCCUACGGGAGGCUGCAGUAACGAAUCUUCCGCAAUGCGCGAAAGCGUGACGGAGCAAUGCCGCGUGCAGGAUGGAGCCCCUCGGGGUGUGAACUGCUGUCAGGGUUUAGAAACACAAUGAUCAGACCCAAAGGAAGGGCCGGCUAACUUCGUGCCAGCAGCCGCGGUAAUACGAAGGGCCCGAGCGUUGCGCGGAAUCACUGGGCUUAAAGCGUACGCAGGUGGACCUACAGGCGUCUUGUGAAAUCCCUCGGCUCAACCGGGGAACUGCUCGACGAACCGUAGGUCUUGAGGCAGGUAGGGGCUGUCGGAACGAUAGGUGGAGUGGUGAAAUGCGUUGAUAUCUAUCGGAACACCAAAGGUGAAAACAGACAGCUGGGCCUGACCUGACACUCAUGUACGAAAGCGUGGGGAGCGAACGGGAUUAGAUACCCCGGUAGUCCACGCCGUAAACGUUGUGCACUAGUUCGAGGGGGUUCUGACACUGCUCUCGGACGAAGCGAAAGUGUUAAGUGCACCGCCUGGGGAGUACGGUCGCAAGGCUAAAACUCAAAGGAAUUGACGGGGGCUCACACAAGCGGUGGAGCAUGUGGCUUAAUUCGAAGCAACGCGAAGAACCUUAUCCUGGAUUGAACUACGGCGGAUUAGCUCUUGGAAACAUGAGUGACACCCUCGGGUGGAACGUCGAUAGGUGCUGCAUGGCUGUCGUCAGCUCGUGCUGUGAAGUGUCGGGUUAAGUCCCUUAACG